CAUUAUCCCUUUUAAUAACAAGAAGUCAUUUAAACACAAAGCCCUGUGCUCCUGGCCAAGGUCACAGCAUGUGUUCAUCCACUCUAGGAGAUCUGGGCAGUGGCCUGAGCCCUGACCAAAACCACUCUCUGUAGAACUAGGCUUUUCUUACCGGCCUAUGUACCUCCCUUUCCAUUGCUUUCCAUCCACAUCAUCCCUCUCAUUGUCUAUAGCUACUGUAGGUAACUCCCACAGGUAACAAAGUGUUUUAUGAGAGAGGCAUUCAACAAGAAGAGGACAGGUUCCUCUUCAGCUAUCCCUAAGAACAAAGGCCUUCCAUUGACUUCCUGGAAAAAAUUGGGUUUUUGGGGGGUGCCUUUGGUGGACACAAUCAUAUUUCCCAAAAUCCUGUUGUUGGCCCAAUUCAUUUGGGAUUUUUAUUCUUCUUUCUGGCAGAGAAACAGCUUGCUAAUCAGUGACAGAGUUCAGUUAGCUCUCCCCCCUUCUUCUAUUACCACCCUUCCUCUCCUCUCCCUCCUCCUAUGCCAGCUUUUAUCCUGGAGAAAGAACAAAGGGUAAAGGGUAGGCCUGAAGACAGAUAAGAAUGAACAGGUGAGGGACAGGGUGUUGGUUAAGUGACCUGUGAGGCAGGAAGGGAUGGUUAGGCCUCUGCCAAGCUCUAUUCUUGACGCACCCAGGGAGGGGACCUCAGGUAGGUCACUCCCAGACACUUAGUUCCUUAGUCUCUGUACAAUGGGCACCAGGCUACCUGCCUCAUAGACAAAGUGAGAGGAUGAAUAAGCAGAUGUAUAUGUCAUUCGAAGGGCACUGCUUUCUCCAUUCAUUUGGGGGAUGAUGCACCUCUCUUUUCUCUGUAGUAGAGAGAGACCAUCCAUUUGUCCUUUUCACUGUGAGUGAGAACUUCCCUGUUUUUCUCCCUUCUACCCAAGGAGACUUGAAAACUACAAAAGGUGUGUGUGGUGAAGAUCAAUAGUUUCAAAAUUCAGAAAAAAUGGUAGAGAUAGAGAAAAACGUUUCUCUGCAUAAACACACCACUUUCUCCAUCUGUCUCUAUGGACAGUUGCAUACAGGUGUCAGUAAAUGUCACCAUGCCUGAAUGUUGGGAUUUGUCUAUGCCCAUGUCAGCGACUGUGUGACCAAGUAUUUACCUAUGUUUGCGUUCCUCUGCCAGCCUGAGCCCUGUGUGUAUGAGUUUAGAUGACUUAUCAGAUUCAGCCUUGAACUGCAUUCAGCGUUCCCUCACUGGAGAGCUCUGAGAGGGGCUAUACCAGAAGAGCCUUCCCAUUGCAGAGAAAAUGGGCUUGUCUUGUACCCUGGAAAAGAACACUUUUCCUUUACUCAGCCUUCAGAAUACAAAGGGAAGUGAUAAACAGUGGAUUUUCACUCUACAAGAGGGGCCCAUAGAUUCCAUCAGACUGCCAAAGGAUGCAUGACUCCAAAAAGUUCACUGGAAAGAAUGCUGGAUUUGGAAUGAAAGGACCUGGACUCAAUCCUUGAUUCUGCUACUUACUGUCUGUAUGACUUUGGAUAAGUCAUCUGACCUCUCUGGGUCUCAGUGUCUUUGAAGGCCUUAAUUGGCCUUUCAGCUCUAAAUCAUCAGUGUUCUGAAAAGUGGAAAUAAUAAUAUAUCUGUCUGGAUUAAAUGGAAGACUGUUUGAAGGAUAAGAUGAGACGAUAGGUGUGAAACGGCUUUAUAGGCAAUAAAGAGAUUC